GUUUCCUAGACACCUCAGCCAUCACUGAGUCACUAGGGAAGGAUUCAAAGAGCAAACAACGAGAGGAAAUUCAGGUGCACUAAGCCCCCCAGCCAGCUAAUGUCAUCACAUGCCAGACUGAUGAGAGGUGAGGCUCCAGGAAAGUCCUAUAUAACCAGAUUUAUUGAUUGAUUAAGAGCUAGCUGAUUGAUCUUCUCAGCAAGAAACGGAGCAGGUGGAAGGAAAUAGUAUGUCUCCAACGAGAUCGCUAUUGCUGCAGGAUGUCUAUCUCUGUGCUGCAGACCUUAAUGGUGUGAAGAAGUCUACAGAGUCUGUGAUGCUGGCUCAGGUUUCCUGGCCUAGAGUUGCAGCUGUCCAUUCACAUGCAUACAUUCUGCAGCCUUCAGCUCCAAGCCUGCGUAGCCUGCUGCAAAUCCACAUCCCAAUGGUGAAAACACCCUGAUGGGGCAUGCAAGCCCUGAGCAAACCCUUAAGCACCUUUACAAAAAAAAUUCCAGUUUCUGCUAUAAACUAAAUUUCAAGCUGUGCUAGCUGUAGAGAAAAAGUAGAAAACUUGAGCAUUAAAAACUUAAAAUCAGAAGGCACAUUAGGAUGAUUUUUAUAAUUUUUGAGAUUUAUUAUUUUUAAACCACUUCCAUGCUUUCUGUGAUCCUGACUCAAGAUUUUGAAAGCUUGCAGUUAGUAAUAACAAUUAAGAGCUUGAUUUAGGAGUUUGAUAUCACCUGUUAAAUUAGGCUGUUGGCUACAAAAUCUAUGCUUGAGUUGGUUAGUCUAAGGUGCCACCAUGCCAUGCUUUGUGCCUGGUUUCAGACUAAAAUAUCUAGCCAUCAUUGUCCUUUCAGUUACUUUAUUUAUGGUUCAUUCAGCCAUAUAUUCCUAAGGUUUUGUCCUAGACUUCUCCAACUGCUGCUUCUUAGGUUCUUCAUAGUUUCCCUUCUUACUCAAUUAUAAUCUCUCUUUAGCUGAGAGGAAGGCAAUUCAUUUAUGCCAGGUAUUGGGCCAGUUGCUUGUCACUUGACCUUGGAGGUUGUAGGCUCCAUGUGAUACUUUACUUUAGGGCUCCUUAUCUCAGUUCC